GAUGAACGCUGGCGGCGUGCCUAAUACAUGCAAGUCGAGCGAACGGACGAGAAGCUUGCUUCUCUGAUGUUAGCGGCGGACGGGUGAGUAACACGUGUAUAACCUACCUAUAAGACUGGGAUAACUUCGGGAAACCGGAGCUAAUACCGGAUAAUAUUUUGAACCGCAUGGUUCAAAAGUGAAAGACGGUCUUGCUGUCACUUAUAGAUGGAUCCGCGCUGCAUUAGCUAGUUGGUAAGGUAACGGCUUACCAAGGCAACGAUGCAUAGCCGACCUGAGAGGGUGAUCGGCGACAGUGGAACUGAGACACGGUCCAGACUCCUACGAGAGGCAGCAGUAGGGAAUCUUCCGCAAUGGGCGAAAGCCUGACGGAGCAACGCCGCGUGAGUGAUGAAGGUCUUCGGAUCGUAAAACUCUGUUAUUAGGGAAGAACAUAUGUGUAAGUAACUGUGCACAUCUUGACGGUACCUAAUCAGAAAGCCACGGCUAACUACGUG
rnacentral:rRNA from 1 species